GAACUGCAGACCCGGACAGGAACCCGUCACUCCCAGCCGCCCUCUGCUCCUGCCCCUGGGCCUGAACCCCAUGGACAAAGGUCCUGAGUGUCCCCUGCAGAUGUUUUGUGUAUAGUACUGUUCUUUCAGACAUUCCAGAAAGAGAUUGUUUUACCUUCUGAAAUGCCUCA